rnacentral:tRNA from 1 species
GAGGGAGAGGUCGAACCAGCAAGAACUGCUAACUCUUGCGUCUGAGCUUAACCUCUCAGCUCCCUU